rnacentral:rRNA from 1 species
AUUGAACGCUGGCGGCAGGCCUAACACAUGCAAGUCGAGCGGAGCGGCGGACGGGUGAGUAAUUCUUAGGUAUCUGCCCAUUCGUGGGGGACAACAUCUCGAACGGGAAGCUAAUACCGCAUCCUAAUAGCUGAGCUUAAGUCGGAUUGGCUCGUUGGUGGGGUAAAGGCCUACCAAGGCGACGAUCUGUAGCGGGUCUGAGAGGCUGAUUCGCCACACUGGGACUGAGACACGGCCCAGACUCCUACGGGAGGCAGCAGUGGGGAAUAUUGGGCAAUGGGGGGAACCCGGAUCCAGCCAUGCCGCGGGUGUGAAGAAGGCCUUAUGGUUGUAAAGCACUUUAAGCGAGGAGGCGUUACUCGCAGAAUAAGCACCGGCUAACUCUGUGCCAGCAGCCGCGGUAAUUC